rnacentral:rRNA from 1 species
GACGAACGCUGGCGGCGUGCUUAACACAUGCAAGUCGAACGAUGAAGCCCAGCCUGAUGGGUGGAUUAGUGGCGAACGGGUGAGUAACACGUGGGUAACCUGCCCCAAACUCUGGGAUAACUCCUCGAAAGAGGUGCUAAUACCGGAUACGAACUAGGUAGACAUCUGCACUAGUUGGAAAGUUUUUCGGCUUGGGAUGGGCCCGCGGCCUAUCAGCUUGUUGGUGAGGUAACGGCUCACCAAGGCUACGACGGGUAACCGGCCUGAGAGGGCGACCGGUCACACUGGGACUGAGACACGGCCCAGACUCCUACGGGAGGCAGCAGUGGGGAAUAUUGCGCAAUGGGCGAAAGCCUGACGCAGCGACGCCGCGUGAGGGAUGAAGGUCUUCGGAUCGUAAACCUCUUUCAGUAGGGACGAAGCGAAAGUGACGGUACCUAAAGAAGAAGCACCGGCUAACUACGUGCCAGCAGCCGCCGUAA